UUAAGCGACUAAGCGUACACGGUGGAUGCCCUGGCAGUCAGAGGCGAUGAAGGACGUGCUAAUCUGCGAUAAGCGUCGGUAAGGUGAUAUGAACCGUUAUAACCGGCGAUUUCCGAAUGGGGAAACCCAGUGUGUUUCGACACACUAUCAUUAACUGAAUCCAUAGGUUAAUGAGGCGAACCGGGGGAACUGAAACAUCUAAGUACCCCGAGGAAAAGAAAUCAACCGAGAUUCCCCCAGUAGCGGCGAGCGAACGGGGAGCAGCCCAGAGCCUGAAUCAGUGUGUGUGUUAGUGGAAGCGUCUGGAAAGGCGCGCGAUACAGGGUGACAGCCCCGUACACAAAAAUGCACAUGCUGUGAGCUCGAUGAGUAGGGCGGGACACGUGGUAUCCUGUCUGAAUAUGGGGGGACCAUCCUCCAAGGCUAAAUACUCCUGACUGACCGAUAGUGAACCAGUACCGUGAGGGAAAGGCGAAAAGAACCCCGGCGAGGGGAGUGAAAAAGAACCUGAAACCGUGUACGUACAAGCAGUGGGAGCACGCUUCGGCGUGUGACUGCGUACCUUUUGUAUAAUGGGUCAGCGACUUAUAUUCUGUAGCAAGGUUAACCGAAUAGGGGAGCCGAAGGGAAACCGAGUCUUAACUGGGCGUUAAGUUGCAGGGUAUAGACCCGAAACCCGGUGAUCUAGCCAUGGGCAGGUUGAAGGUUGGGUAACACUAACUGGAGGACCGAACCGACUAAUGUUGAAAAAUUAGCGGAUGACUUGUGGCUGGGGGUGAAAGGCCAAUCAAACCGGGAGAUAGCUGGUUCUCCCCGAAAGCUAUUUAGGUAGCGCCUCGUGAAUUCAUCUCCGGGGGUAGAGCACUGUUUCGGCAAGGGGGUCAUCCCGACUUACCAACCCGAUGCAAACUGCGAAUACCGGAGAAUGUUAUCACGGGAGACACACGGCGGGUGCUAACGUCCGUCGUGAAGAGGGAAACAACCCAGACCGCCAGCUAAGGUCCCAAAGUCAUGGUUAAGUGGGAAACGAUGUGGGAAGGCCCAGACAGCCAGGAUGUUGGCUUAGAAGCAGCCAUCAUUUAAAGAAAGCGUAAUAGCUCACUGGUCGAGUCGGCCUGCGCGGAAGAUGUAACGGGGCUAAACCAUGCACCGAAGCUGCGGCAGCGACGCUGAUGCGUUGUUGGGUAGGGGAGCGUUCUGUAAGCCUGCGAAGGUGUGCUGUGAGGCAUGCUGGAGGUAUCAGAAGUGCGAAUGCUGACAUAAGUAACGAUAAAGCGGGUGAAAAGCCCGCUCGCCGGAAGACCAAGGGUUCCUGUCCAACGUUAAUCGGGGCAGGGUGAGUCGACCCCUAAGGCGAGGCCGAAAGGCGUAGUCGAUGGGAAACAGGUUAAUAUUCCUGUACUUGGUGUUACUGCGAAGGGGGGACGGAGAAGGCUAUGUUGGCCGGGCGACGGUUGUCCCGGUUUAAGCGUGUAGGCUGGUUUUCCAGGCAAAUCCGGAAAAUCAAGGCUGAGGCGUGAUGACGAGGCACUACGGUGCUGAAGCAACAAAUGCCCUGCUUCCAGGAAAAGCCUCUAAGCAUCAGGUAACAUCAAAUCGUACCCCAAACCGACACAGGUGGUCAGGUAGAGAAUACCAAGGCGCUUGAGAGAACUCGGGUGAAGGAACUAGGCAAAAUGGUGCCGUAACUUCGGGAGAAGGCACGCUGAUAUGUAGGUGAGGUCCCUCGCGGAUGGAGCUGAAAUCAGUCGAAGAUACCAGCUGGCUGCAACUGUUUAUUAAAAACACAGCACUGUGCAAACACGAAAGUGGACGUAUACGGUGUGACGCCUGCCCGGUGCCGGAAGGUUAAUUGAUGGGGUCAGCGCAAGCGAAGCUCUUGAUCGAAGCCCCGGUAAACGGCGGCCGUAACUAUAACGGUCCUAAGGUAGCGAAAUUCCUUGUCGGGUAAGUUCCGACCUGCACGAAUGGCGUAAUGAUGGCCAGGCUGUCUCCACCCGAGACUCAGUGAAAUUGAACUCGCUGUGAAGAUGCAGUGUACCCGCGGCAAGACGGAAAGACCCCGUGAACCUUUACUAUAGCUUGACACUGAACAUUGAGCCUUGAUGUGUAGGAUAGGUGGGAGGCUUUGAAGUGUGGACGCCAGUCUGCAUGGAGCCGACCUUGAAAUACCACCCUUUAAUGUUUGAUGUUCUAACGUUGACCCGUAAUCCGGGUUGCGGACAGUGUCUGGUGGGUAGUUUGACUGGGGCGGUCUCCUCCUAAAGAGUAACGGAGGAGCACGAAGGUUGGCUAAUCCUGGUCGGACAUCAGGAGGUUAGUGCAAUGGCAUAAGCCAGCUUGACUGCGAGCGUGACGGCGCGAGCAGGUGCGAAAGCAGGUCAUAGUGAUCCGGUGGUUCUGAAUGGAAGGGCCAUCGCUCAACGGAUAAAAGGUACUCCGGGGAUAACAGGCUGAUACCGCCCAAGAGUUCAUAUCGACGGCGGUGUUUGGCACCUCGAUGUGGCUCAUCACAUCCUGGGGCUGAAGUAGGUCCCAAGGGUAUGGCUGUUCGCCAUUUAAAGUGGUACGCGAGCUGGGUUUAGAACGUCGUGAGACAGUUCGGUCCCUAUCUGCCGUGGGCGCUGGAGAACUGAGGGGGGCUGCUCCUAGUACGAGAGGACCGGAGUGGACGCAUCACUGGUGUUCGGGUUGUCAUGCCAAUGGCACUGCCCGGUAGCUAAAUGCGGAAGAGAUAAGUGCUGAAAGCAUCUAAGCACGAAACUUGCCCCGAGAUGAGUUCUCCCUGACCCUUUAAGGGUCCUGAAGGAACGUUGAAGACGACGACGUUGAUAGGCCGGGUGUGUAAGCGCAGCGAUGCGUUGAGCUAACCGGUACUAAUGAACCGUGAGGCUUAACCUU
rnacentral:rRNA from 1 species